rnacentral:rRNA from 1 species
GUGGUUAUGCCAUUUAAGGUAACACCCGUUCCCAUUCCGAACACGAUGGUUAAGCUUUUAUGGGCCGAUGGUACUGCACGGGCAGCUGUGUGGGAGAGUAGGUUGUCGCUA